UACAGAGGGUGCGAGCGUUAAUCGGAAUUAUUGGGCGUAAAGCGCGCGCAGGUGGUUUCUUAAGUCUGAUGUGAAAGCCCACGGCUCAACCGUGGAGGGUCAUUGGAAACUGGGAGACUUGAGUGCAGAAGAGGAAAGUGGAAUUCCAUGUGUAGCGGUGAAAUGCGUAGAGAUAUGGAGGAACACCAGUGGCGAAGGCGACUUUCUGGUCUGUAACUGACACUGAGGCGCGAAAGCGUGGGGAGCAAACAGG
rnacentral:rRNA from 1 species